AGUGAACGCUGGCGGUAGGCCUAACACAUGCAAGUCGAACGGCAGCACAGUAAGAGCUUGCUCUUACGGGUGGCGAGUGGCGGACGAGUGAGGAAUACAUCGGAAUCUACUUUUUCGUGGGGGAUAACGUAGGGAAACUUACGCUAAUACCGCAUACGACCUACGGGUGAAAGCAGGGGAUCUUCGGACCUUGCGCGAUUGUAUGAGCCGAUGUCGGAUUAGCUAGUUGGCGGGGUAAAGGCCCACCAAGGCGACGAUCCGUAGCUGGUCUGAGAGGAUGAGCAGCCACACUGGAACUGAGACACGGUCCAGACUCCUACGGGAGGCAGCAGUGGGGAAUAUUGGACAAUGGGCGCAAGCCUGAUCCAGCCAUACCGCGUGAGUGAAGAAGGCCUUCGGGUUGUAAAGCCCUUUUGUUGGGAAAGAAAAGCAGCAGGUUAAUACCCCGCUGUUCUGACGGUACCCAAAGAAUAAGCACCGGCUAACUUCGUG
rnacentral:rRNA from 1 species